GACGAACGCUGGCGGCGUGCUUAACACAUGCAAGUCGAACGCUGAAGCUCAGCUUUUGUUGGGUGGAUGAGUGGCGAACGGGUGAGUAACACGUGAGUAACCUGCCUCCUUCUUUGGGAUAACGCCCGGAAACGGGUGCUAAUACUGGAUAUUCACUGGUCUUCGCAUGGGGGUUGGUGGAAAGGGUUUUUCUGGUGGGGGAUGGGCUCGCGGCCUAUCAGCUUGUUGGUGGGGUGAUGGCCUACCAAGGCUUUGACGGGUAGCCGGCCUGAGAGGGUGACCGGUCACAUUGGGACUGAGAUACGGCCCAGACUCCGACGGGAGGCAGCGGUGGGGAAUAUUGCACAAUGGGCGCAAGCCUGAUGCAGCGCCGCCGCGUGAGGGAUGGAGGCCUUCGGGUUGUGAACCUCUUUCGCUCAUGGUCAAGCCGCAACAAUGGUUGUGGUGAGGGUAGUGGGUAAAGAAGCGCCGGCUAACUACGUG
rnacentral:rRNA from 1 species